rnacentral:tRNA from 1 species
GCCGAGGUCGUCUAGCGGUAGGGCGCCAGCCUGGAAAGCUGGUGAUUCGCAAGGGUCUCGUGAGUUCGAAUCUCACCCUCGGCG